rnacentral:rRNA from 1 species
UACCAGCACCCCCGAGUGGUCGGGACGAUUAUUGGGCCUAAAGCAUCCGUAGCCGGUCCUGCGAGUCUUCCGUUAAAUCCAGCUGCUCAACAGAUGGGCUGCGGAAGAUACUACAGGGCUAGGAGGCGGGAGAGGCAAGCGGUACUUUAUGGGUAGGGGUAAAAUCCUUUGAUCCAUAGAAGACCACCAGUGGCGAAGGCGGCUUGCCAGAACGCGCUCGACGGUGAGGGAUGAAAGCUGGGGGGAGCAAACCGG